CCAGCUUGGCCACCGCCCGCAGUGGCCAUGCACCUUGCAUACUCCUUCUUAAACCGGCCAUCCUUAUCCGCAAGCACAGUGCCACCGUUGUUCUCCUCCUUUCUCUGUUUUCCGCCGCCACCAGCAGAGCUCCCGUCGCCGGCGAAAUUCGUCGUAUGCGUUCCACCUCCGCCGCUGCGUCUUGUGACUCCAUCUUGCCCUUGAGCUGCUGUUGCUCCUAGCCAAUCACCCCCAAUCCGCUCCGACACCCUGGCCGGCUUCCUUCAUCUCCAUAGCCGGUGAAGGCGCCGCCGUAGCCCACAAUCGUAGUUAGUCAUGCUCCAAGUCUCUAUGCGAGUGAUGAGUAGCUUCUCAGAGUCGUGGUGAACUCUUGAAUCUUCCAAUCGCCUCCAUUUUAUCUCUACUGCAUCAUGGUGGCCGACCCAUCGCUGUGCCACCGUGCCGUUGCUGCCGGUGCCGCUGCCCGCGCGGCCAUGCCAUCUCAAGCCAACAGGUGCGCACUAGUCCGAGCAAGCUCCCCCGCUACUCCACUGCCGCCGACGAGCACCCCAACGCCGAAACUACGAACUCCGACAAGCUCCUCUGUUUUUAGUACGCGACCAGGGACCCCGUGCAACAAUUUGAAGUUCUCCAGGGGUCUAAUUGGGCAGACCGUGACUCAAGUGAAUAGUGCCAUAAGGACUUGUUUGCAGAUGUUUUGUUGGAUGUUUGGAAAUUCAUAUCUGGAGUUUGGUAACUCCAAUUUUAGUGAACUAAAUUUUGUUGUGCUCCUGGAGAUGUCGAGUUUUUAUGAAAAAUAUUAAAAUGGCCAUGUUUUGUAGUAAAAUAAUUAGUUAUGAUUUAUUCCUUUUAAUUAUGUUUAAAAAGGAGAAAUUCAUAUCUCAUUCUGUGUUGCUCCUACUGGCCUAAAAUUUUUAUGGUGUUCUCAUGAUGUUAUAUGAGUGGUGCAGUAAAGAUUUCAUGUUCAGUGGAUGAAAUAUGUUUAAGUUAUUAAUUUAUCUUGUUUACUGCUUAUUAAAUUGCUUAUAAUUAAAAUAAAAAUGAAUAAAUAUAAAAUAUGGUUCCUCUACCUUUAUAUGAUGUUGUUAUAUCAUAUGUAGACAUAAUAUAGCUAUGUGUUUGUAGAAAAUAUUGAAUUCUAUAUUUAUCUUGCUCUCACAUGCUUAAUAAUAUUUAAGAUUUGUCUUUUUCAUAAUAAUUAAUUUAUUACACCUGAGCAUGUGAAAUUUGUACAGUAGUCACAUCUUGUCAUCACCAAUCUCUCCUAAAGUAUCCAAGUGAGGUGUUUGCCACACCACUUAACAAUAGUACAUAUUCCAUUUUAUAUAAGAAAGCAGAUUAGAAUUAAGAAAUCAUUAACCUUAAUGAACUUUGGUAUUUAAUUAUUGUUUGGUGUUUGCUUAAUUACUACCAUUAAUUCUUAAUUAAGGGUUAAUUAGGAUAAGUGGGAUUAAUAAUUAGUUAAUUAAAAAUAGUUACAAAUUAAGAAAAGUCUUAGAUUACUAUAGCAACCUCUUGGGUAAAAACACUAAAGUAGUAUACAACCUCUAAUUACUAUUUCAACUGGCACCGAGAAGGAAAAUUGUACCCAACUAAAUCCUUCUUGUAUGUCUGUCAUAAGCAUAUCAUGAGCAUACAUCAUUUUGCGUAUAGUGCACGUGACCGAAGGAGUGACCGUUGAACCGAACCCCGAGGUUAGUGUUGCAUUCAAGGAAGUUGAAACCGAGACAUGGGAAGUCUCCGAGGAACCCACUCAGCUCUGCAACCAAGGCAAGCCCCGGAUGCAUUAACCAUUCCUUGAAUCAAAAUGAUGCAUUAUGUAGUCACGAAUUGGGAUAACCAAUUGUUGCAUUUACGACCUUGAUAUUUGUUAUCUUGUCCUUGGUACCUAUUUUAUUUAAAACUGCGUAGUGAUGCUUAGACCUGCUUAUUAGGUAGGUUUUCAAAUAAUAAAUUUGAAGGGUUGUUGUGGAAUACUUUUAUUGUCAAUGAUGUUUCAACUUGAGACCGGUCGGUGGACUUGCUUUAAGAAUGGAGUUUUAAAGUAGUGUCUGCAACUGUGUCGAUUAAGAACCGGUCCGUUGAUGGCCUCCUGGGUUGAGAAUUUAUAGUACUAGCCACUUGCCCUCGGUAAGCCCGGUCUGGUGAGUCCUCGAUGAGAGCGGCUACUCGCGCACUGGGCGUGGAGUGAUGGCGAGAGUAGCGUGUAUCCUCCUAGCAAAUGGGCUGGACAGUGGAGUACUGUGCUCUUGGGUGCCGCGAACCCGGUCAGAUCUUGGGAAUGCCAGAUUUGAGUUGACAUAUGCAAGAUUCAGUUCUACAUAUGUCGGGUGGUUAGGAAGUCCAGCUGGACUGCUAAGCGGUUUGAAUCGUCGUUGCUCCCUGAUUGGGAGACUCAAUCCACUGACCCUCAUCGUAGUUAACAAUGCAAUUAAGUUAAGAAUGGGGGAAGAUGGAAAUGUCUCAGGGUGUUCGGAUCCCAAUUCCCGGACUCACAGUGACAUGAAGCUAUGGCCGUCAAAUAAAUAUCACUCUUGUUAGGAAUUAGUAAUUCACGGACUCGUUUGUGAAAAGCAACUAGAUAGACUAUCCUCGAAUUCGUCUGCCUCUCGAGGUGACCAGUUUGAGGCUAAAACAUGAAAGUAAGGAUCCACUAUUAGUAAGCUUUUAUGCAAAACAACUUGGUUUCUUGCUCAGCCUCUCCUUGUCUAUCCUAAAGCCCGCCUUCCUAAGUUCUCCCCUUUUAUAUCGGGUAAGUCUUGUUGAGUACUCCCGUACUCAGGGUUCUUUAACCCGUGUUGCAGGUGCUGACUUGUGCUGCGAAUGGAGGUCAUGUCGGUGGGCACGAUAUGAUUUGUCCACCUCUUCUACCUUAGAAGCUUCACCUAAGUUGCUUCCACUACUCUACACUCCUUUUGGGAACUUAGUUAAGUUUAUAUUUCAUCAUAUUUUGUAAAUUAAGUUAUGAAUCUUCCGCACUCAAAUGGAAGUGAUUUUUUUUGUAAUAAACGUUGUAAUGUUGUGGUAACUCCAUGUUGAUCCUGUAUGAGUUAUAAAAUGUGGAUGUUUUGGGGUCCUCCUAGGGCACCCAACAGACUAUCCGAGUUAUAUGACUCUCAUCUGCAGUAGGCAGAGGUCUUAAGGACAAUGUUAGGUGCAUCUGGGCCAUAUAAUUGGGGUGGUUCUGCUACAGAGUGGUAACGGAGCUCAUACAUGGAUCUUCGACAACAUUACUUAUGAAAAACUUCAAAAGGAAUUUCCAAAUUAAAAGUUUUGAGGAUAACAACUUAUAAAUGUUCCUUAACUUUUCUUAUGCUUGGUGUCCAAGUUCUACGAAGACUUUCUGUUGACUCAAAUAGAAGGCAUUGAAAGAGGAUUCAUGUCUUCGGUAAGCCAAGUGAAGAAUCAAACUAGUCCAACAAUGCUUCGUCAACAGUCUUGUAGCCUUCUAUCUGAAGCAAUAAAGAUAAUGUAUAAAGUAUGCCCUAUAUAAGUAGUUACCUCCUAGCUAACAUUGUGAAGACGUACAGGGCGAGCAUACAUCAUAUCAUUCACUUCAAAAUAAUGUUACGAGGAUGUUAUAGAUUCCCUUUUUAAUCCAGGACAGCUAUUCUCCUUAUAGUCGUUCUAUUCGAUAAAUCUUGUCAUAUGCCAGGUCUCAUCCAAUUAAAUAUCCUUUUGACAAUCCUUGUUCCAUAAAGUUCCCAUCCUUGGGGAUACUUUUGGAUGCAUAUUGAUAGAUCCCAAACAUAAAUGUGAAGACCUGAGAUAACUCCUUGACUUCUCAAUUCAUGCAUGUGUCACACCUUGAUUACUUCUACUCUGACACAUUCUUUUAACUCUAAAUACCAACAUAGGUUGUUGAAAGCUAUUGUAACUAUACUCUAUAGUAGGUACCAUGAUUUGUGAUCAUGUUAUAGCGUUGAACCUUGUAGAAUCCUGUGGAACCGCGACCAUAAUGAUAUACUACCAGGUGCUCGUUAAACAUCGAGAUCUCAGGUCAUGCUCCACUAUAGUCUAUAGUUAGUUCGCUUUCAUUCUCCUCGGAAGCUCAUUUGGAGAUUCAUAUCUUCUUAUGAAUUCUCUAAAAUUCUUGAUUGACUACAACAUUCUAUUGAUCUUAGUUGUAAUUCUCGGACCAAUUGUAACUGUUUUAUGAACUUCUCAGAACUUAAUAACUUAACCCCAUUGGUUUCAGUACCCUAGAAAUCUCGAGAUGAUAUUUCUUUAAGGGGGAAGGGCUGUAACAUCCCUGAUGUUAGGCAUAUUAAAACUUGAUCAUGUCAUCAUAAUCAUUGCAAAGCAUGUUUGUUAAGCACAUCAUGGUGCAUCAACUUAAAAUAAGUCUAAUUUGGUUGACUAUGCUUAGGGAUCUAAAGUGUGUCAUCUUGUGAAGUGAUGCUUGUGGUGGUGGUUUAGCUUCUAGUCAAGGAGGGUUGCAAGGAAAUAGCUAAGGAAAAACCCUAAUUUCAACCCUAGCUUUUACCCCCUUUUGUGUAACUUGAAAAGUAAGCAAAAUUUGAGGAUGACUUCAAAAGCAAAGUUUUAGAUCUUGUCGAGGUGUACAACUUUUGUGUUUUGAGUUUUUGAAGUUUCAAUGCAAAAUUCAACGUAAUUUUAAAAAUACAGAUUUUCAAAAAUUAUCCCCUUUUCAGUUUGAAUCUCUAAUUCAAAAUCUAUUUGGAAUCUUGAAAGGUGACCCAACUAAAAGUUGUAGGUCUUAGAAAAAUGAACAACUUUUAUUUUGGGAGUUUUUCAAGUUGUUGAGAAAAAUCAAAAGUAAUUUUAGAAUUUCUGUUUGGACCAAAUUCAAAUUGGAUUUGCCCCCAAUUUGGAAAUUUGAAAUUCAAACUAUUUUGGUCAAAUUUAUCACUUUCCUUUCAAAAUCUGAAUUUGAGCCUAAAAGGAAUGUUGUAGGAAUUUUUGUGCUGCACAUUUCUUGUUUUGGCCAAUUUUUGAGUUUUCGUGGAAAAUAAAAAGUAAUUUCAAAAAUAAAAAGGGAAAUGGAUUGGAUUGCUACAGUAGCCUGCCAAUCAACGCAGGGCAGCUCCUGCUUGCCGCCGUGCACCGCCGUGGCCAGCUUGGCCACCGCCCGCAGUGGCCACGCACCUUGCUUACUCCUUAACCCAGCCAUCCUUAUCUGCAAGCACAGUGCCGCCGUUGUUCUCCUCAUUUCUCUAUUUUCUGGCACCACCAGCAGAGCUCCCGUCGCCAGCGAAAUUCAUCGUAUGCGUUCCACCUCCACCGCUGCGUCUUGCGACUCCAUAUUGCCCUUGAGCUGCUAUUGAACCCAGCCAAUCGCCCCCAAUCUGCUCCGACACCCUGACCGGCUCCCUUCUUCUCCAGAGCCGGUGAAGGCGCAACCGUAGACCGCCACCGUAGUUAGCCGUGCUCCAAGUCUCUAUGCCAGUGACGAGUAGCUUCUCAAAGUCGUGGUGAGCUCCUGAAUCUUCUCAUCGCCUCCAUUUUAUCUCUACUGCAUCAUGGUGGCUGGCCCAUCACUGCGCCACUGAGUCGUUGCUGCCGGUGCCGCUGCCCGCGCAGCCAUGCCAUCUUGAGCCAUUGCGGGACAAGCUACGGCCACCAACUUGUGCGCACUAGUCGGACCAAGCUCUCCCGCUGCUCCAUUGCCGCCGACGAGCACCCCAAUGCCAAAACUGCCAACUCCGACGAGCUCCUCUGCUUUCAGUUCGCGACCAGGGACCCCGUGUGACAAUUUGCAGUUCUCCAGGGGUCUAAUUGCGCAAACCGUGACUCAGGUGAAUAGUGCCAUAAGGACUUGUUUGCAGAUGUUUUGUUGGAUGUUUGGAAAUUCAUAUCUGGAGUUUGGUAACUCCAAUUUUAGUGAACUAAAUUUUGUUGUGCUCCUGGAGAUGUCUAGUUUUUAUAAAAAAUAUUAAACUGGCCAUGUUUUGUAGUAAAAUAAUUAGUUUUGAUUUAUGCCUUUUAAUUAUGUUUAAAAAGGAGAAAAUCAUAUCUCAUUCUGUGUAGAUCCUACUGGCCUAAAAUUUUUAUGGUGUUCUAAUGAUGUUAUGAGAAUGGUGCAGUAAAGAUUUCAUCUUCAGUGGAUGACAUAUGUUUAAGUUAUUAAUUUAUCUUGUUUAGUGCUUAUUAAAUUGUUUAUAAUUGAAAUAAAAAUGAAUAAAUAUAAAAUAUGGUUCCUCUACCUUUAUAUGAUGUUGUUAUAUCAUAUCUAGACAUAAUAUAUCUAUGUGUUUGUAGAAAAUAUUGAAUUCUAUAUUUAUCUUUAUCAUAAUAAUUAAUUUAUAACACCUAAGCAUGUGAAAUUUGUAUAGUAGUCACAUCUUGUCAUCGCCAAUCUUUCCUAAAAAAAUUAGUAUCCAAAUGAGGUGUUUGCCACACCACUUAACAAUAGUACAUAUUGCAUUUUGUAUAAGUAAAGAAAGGAGAUUAAAAUUAAGAAAUCAUUAACCUUAAUGACCUUUGGCAUUUAAUUAUUGUUUGGUGUUGAUACUUAAUUACUGUCAUUAAUGCUUAAUUAACGGUUAAUUAGGAUAAGUGGGAUUAAUAAUUAGUUAAUUAAAAGUAGUUACAAAUUAAGAAAAGUCUUAGAUUACUAUUGCAACCUCUUGGGUAAAAACACUAAAGUAGUAAAAAACCUCUAAUUGCUAUUUCAACUUGCGUUUGUACCGAGAAGGAAAAUUGUACCCAACUAAAUCCUUCGUGUAAGUCUAUCAUAAGCAUAUCAUGAGCAUACAUCAUUUUACGUAUAGUGCACGUGACCGAAGGAGUGACCGUUGAACCAAACCCCGAGGUUGGUGUUCCAUUGAAGGAAGUUGGAACCGAGACUUGGGAAGUCUCCAAGGAACCCGCUCAGCUCUGCAACCAAGGCAAGCCCCGUAUGCAUUAACCCUUCAUUGAAUGUUUUAAAUCUUUUUUUUUACUUAUGAAUCAAAAUGCUGCAUUACGUAGUCAGGAAUUGGGAUAACCAAUUGUUGCAUUUACCACCUUGAUAUUUGUUAUCUUGUCCUUGGUACCUAUUUUAUUUAAAACUGCGUAGUGAUGCUUAGACCUACUUAUUAGGUAGGUUUUCAAAUAAGAAAGUUUGAAGGGUUGUUGUGGAAUACUUUUAUUGUCAAUAAUGUUUCAACUUGAGACCGGUCGGUGGACUUGCUUUAAGAAUGGAGUCUUAAAGUAGUGUCUCCAAUUGUGUCGAUUAAGGACUAGUCCGUUGAUGGCCUGCUGGGUUGAGAAUUUAUAGUACUAGCCACUUGCCCUUGGUAAGCCCGGUCUGGUGAUUCCUCGACGAGAGCGGCUACUCGCACACUGGGCGUGGAGCGAUGGCGAGAGUUGUAUAACACUCCAAAAUUUUUAUUUUGGAUUGUUAUUAGAAAACACUAAAUUAAAUAAGGAUUUAAAUUUUUUCUAAAAUAUUCCGAGAUUUUUAAUUAUUGAAUUCAAAAAGAGAGAAAAAUGUGGAAUUUUAAAUUUUUUAUAAAGAUAAGUGAUGAGUGUUUUAUUUAAUGUUGUGUGCUUUGUGCCCUAGCUUUGUUUAGGUUCUUUGUGAAAAAAAAAAUGAAUUUUAAAUUUUCUAGCAAGCAUGUUUAGGUCCUUUUGAUUUUAGGAAUGAUAAAACACUAAAAGUCCUUUUUGAAAACUAAUUUAUAUUUAAAAAGUUGUUUAAACAAUAUAGGUUUUUGUUUUCACAGAUAGGUAAGGAAACAAUUCCAAAAUAAUCUCAAGGUAGCGAAUCAAAUUUUGGUUUUCAAUUUGUCAUGCAAAAUGUUUUCAUAAUCACAUUUGAUUUAGUUAAAAAUAAUAAUAAUAAGGUUUUCCCUUUUUCCCACCCCUCCCUCUGUCUAGCUCCCGGCCCAGCUCGCAAACGCGGCCCAGCGCCCCGCCUCAGCCUGCUAGCGGCCGCAGCAGUGCGGCCCGCGUGCGCCUCCCGCUUGGGCCUUAGCCCAGCAGUACCGUGGCCCAGCAGCAGCAGCGGCCCGCAACGCCACCUCGCCCUGAGCCUCUGCCAGCUGGGCCCCACACGUCAGUCGUCUUCCCCAACCUCCGUCCGCUUCGGGCGGAUGAGAAUGCCACAGCCGCCGCAAGAUCUUCCCCCUGCGCGCACCGCGAUGUUGCCCGGGCCUAUAAAGGCCCUGUCUAGAGCCCCGUGCCCCCCUUCGGAACCCUAGGGCAGCAGCCGCCACCUCUCGUGCUCAAGUCGCGAGCCACCAUAGCCGCCGCUGUCCCGAGCUCCGCGCCGCCGUGGAAUCUCUGUUUCCGCUACGUCACCGACGACGAGGACGGUUCCCCGAGCUUCGCUGCGUGGUAAGGAAUCCGCCGGUGCCCUUCCCGGUCAUCCUCCCUCUCUCAGUCGCGCGCGCGCCCUCGCCGGAGUAGUGCGGCCGUUGUCGAGCCGCCCCACCUCGCGCACCCGCCUUCCCGGCCACUACCUGUCCCCGUAGACGCGCACACCGCGCUCGCUUUGCCAGGACGAGCACGAUGGUGCCCUCGGAACAGCCUCCCAUGCACCACAGCGCCGUCACGGCGAGCCGCAGACGCGCGGCCAUGGCGCCGCCGCGGCCAGGCCCCCCCUCCGCCGCCACGCACCAGCCCCGGUCCACUAUGGACCGGGCACCCCACGCCUGCACCCGAUCCACCGUAGACCGGCCAGUCCCGAGCUGACACGUAGCAAGCCAGGCUGGCCACCCCGCGCCGCCCUGGCUCAUUUGUAAAAAGGCCCUCGGCCUUCGUAGUAAUCAACUCGCGGUCCAUCUAGUUAAAAAAGAAUUAAAUCUAGGUCCUUGGUUUUAGCAGUUUAGCCCCUGAUCCAUUGGUUUUUAUAGAUUUAGUCCAAAAUGCUUUUAAAAUUCAGUUUUAAUUAUUUAAAAUACAAAAAAAAUAGUUCUGUUAAUCACAGUUUUGCCACUGAUCUAGUUUUGGCCAUAGAAUGCUCGUUUUAACUCCGAUUGAGCCCGUUCUUGUCGCGUUAGGUUCGUAUCGACGUAAACUAUGCUUUAGUAGCAAUGUUCACCAUGUCUGAUACUUUUAGAUUUCAUCAUAAAUGUUAUUUUGUAAAUGCUUAUUCAAUAAUCAUUGGAAAUCAAAAGCAACUUAGGGGUUAGUAAAUCUCUGAUCUUUUUCAUAAAAUAAGUACUAGUAUGUUCUAUGCCAACUUAAAUGUCUUUUUAGUUGUGAUCUACUUAAUCCAAUCUUAUUUCAUAAAUGCUCUGUAUAACUUGUCACCAAUUCCUUGUUUUCUGAUUAAAAGCAGAAAUGUGACUUAAAUGAUGUAGAAUGGUUUGUAAUUAGAUUUUGACUAAAAUUUAACUCCAGCUUUUAUAAUUCUUUAUAAUCUGGUCCAUUCAAAUUUGAGAUAUUUCUCUAAAAAGUCUAUCACCAUCUUUUAUGAAAUAAAAUACGACCAGCUUAUAGUCGUCUUCUUCGUUACACGUCGAACCUCGAAAGUCGUGUCCAUUUAACGAUAGCUCCGGUCUCAAUCGUUCUUGCGUUGUCACGAUCAUAGCAACAAGCCGUGUCGUUUAGUACUAUCUCUUUCAAAGCUUUUCUUUUGGUUGAUGCUUGUUCUUAGUCGUGAUUGUCUGUUUGUCUGUUUGUGUUGCUUGUUUGUUGCGAAUAGAAGAAGCGUGGUUUGUUAGCGCCCGAAUGUCACGAGCUGAGGACCGACAGUCGAAGCAGAAGUUGGAGAUUAGAAGAAAGAAGCCAAAGAAUUCUGAGCAGAUAUACACUGGGAAUAAAGGCAAGUGCAGGCACCCUUUGAUCAUAUUGUACCUAUGAAUUUUAAAUAUAUUUACUUUCCAUUGCAUGUGUCUUAAUACUACAAACCAUAAGGACAUGACUAGCCCUGUACUAUAUUCCUUGUAAUCCUGGGUUUAUACAUGGGUAGUAUAGUGAACUGUAGAUAUGCUUAGCUGCUCUGUUCAUCUAUUCCAUAUAAUAAAUGAAAGUAAAUAAUCUUGCCUAAUGAAUUAUUCAAUGAUGAUUAAUGUUUAAAUGAUGAACAAUGGUCACUUUGGUGAUGGAGAUGUUGCAGUGCUUGUGAGCAUCAUGGUUUCUUGAGGAAAGGGGGAGCGGGUACUGUUGGUUGGCCCGGUUGUCGGGCGUACCCGUCUCUGCACUCUGUAAGGACUUAGUCAUGGAGCGGCCCCCUGGGACAUACAGUGUAGCUCCAAGCUAUAUGGCUCUGGCUUGACUAAUUAGCAGGACCUCGACUAGUAGGGUGUUACUUUCUGGGUAGGCGUGAGGAAGUAACUUGGGUAACGAAUAUUAAGUUGUCGGUUGAUCGGUAUGUCAUGGCUAUGGGUAUUGACUGCCGAGCGCCCCGGCAAAAACUUACGAGUGGCAUCCUAUUAGUUGGACCCUGUGAAAGGUCUCGUAGUGAGACCGUACCUGCUCACCUUGGUAGUGUUUUGGGGAGUCGCGAUCCCAGGCAAAUGGGAAUCACGACUUGGAGUGAAAGUGCACACCUCUACAGAGUGUAAAACUGAUAUAUCAGUCGUGCUCACGGUCACGAGCGGCCCAGACUCUGACAUGAUGAGCAAAUUGGAAUCACAUGGAACUUAGAGGCGGAACUUGGUUGAGGUUGCUACCUCAUGCUUUGGCGGAAUGGCUAUUCCGUGUUGGUAGGAUUGCUAUCAUGUGUUCUUAAUUGGGAUUGCUAUCCCCUAACCUUAAUGGGGUGGCUACCCCAAGUUACUAUCCGAGGUUGCUACCUCGGUAAUCUUAAUAAUAAUUAUUAUUAUAAUGAUGAGUAAUAAUAUUGUUAAUAUACUUUCAUCUAAUUAAGGGUUGGGAUGCUUCACUCAUAUUUAGUAAUAGGUUGUUUUAAUAAAAGAAUUAUAAUAAAAGUUUACCAACUAAAAAGCUCACUGCAGUUAAACAGUGUCAGCUUUUCCUUUGAUUAAGCCUCAUGUCAUUAUACUUUCCGCCUGUACUUGUUGAGUUCGACAUGAACUCGCCCUUGCUAUUUCCCUCACACCCCAUUGUGUAGUAAAGUGCUGCUCAGAAGAAGGACAGAUAUGCUAUGAAGUUUUCUAGAAGUAUAUCAGAAGUGCUUGGUGUACGGAGCCCCAAGUCAACCGUCCCUGAGAAGAAUGGAGCCUAAGAAGUUUAGCUACUGUUUCCGCAUACUCUGAUGUUUGUAAGUGUUAUUAUAAAUAUGUUUUCCGCUAUAUAUAACAUUGUUUCCAAUAUUUCUAUUUUUUGUUGUAUGUGUGGACUUUCUAAAUCCAAGGUGUGACAGACCGUCAAAUUUAUACAAGUUUAAGUACGAAUGUCCCCGUUUAACACGUUGACACACACAUACUCUCACUUAUAUAAACCCGGUAGUCUGCCGAGUGUCACGAAGGACCUCAGUGAAUCAACU
rnacentral:lncRNA from 1 species